GGGUGUGUGGCCGAGUGGUUGAAGGCACCAGUCUUGAAAACUGGCGAACGGCAACGUUUCGUGAGUUCGAAUCUCACCGCACCCGCCA
rnacentral:tRNA from 1 species